ACUCUCUCAACCUUUCUCUUUCUCUUCGGAGGAAGGGCUUAGGGUUGGAUUUGGACGUCUGCCGUGAGGUCUCUCGUGGCUCGUCUUGAAAUGCAUUAGCUGGUCCGCCUCGGUUCGACAACGGUGUGAUAAGAAACGCUUCGUGACUGUGGCGCCGUUGUAAGCCGACCUUAGGAGGAUCGCUUCUAAUCGUCUUCGGACAGCACCCUACGUC
rnacentral:misc_RNA from 1 species